AUCACGUGGAAACACCGGUUUCCGUACGAUCACCGAAGUUAAGCAACAUCAAAGCUGGUCAGUACUAUGAUGGGUGACCACUUAGGUG